rnacentral:rRNA from 1 species
CACGUAGGGGGCAAGCGUUGUCCGGAUUUAUUGGGCGUAAAGAGCUCGCAGGCGGCUCAGUAAGUCGGGUGUGAAACCUCCAGGCUCAACCUGGAGACGCCACCCGAUACUGCUGUGGCUUGAGUCCGGUAGGGGAGCGUGGAAUUCCUGGUGUAGCGGUGAAAUGCGCAGAUAUCAGGAGGAACACCAGCGGCGAAGGCGGCGCUCUGGGCCGGAACUGACGCUGAGGAGCGAAAGCGUGGGUAGCAAACAGG